GACGAACGCUGGCGGCGUGCUUAACGCAUGCAAGUCGAACGGAAAGGCCCUGCUUUUGUGGGGUGCUCGAGUGGCGAAAGGGUGAGUAACACGUGAGUAACCUGCCCUUGACUUUGGGAUAACUUCAGGAAACUGGGGCUAAUACCGGAUAGGAGCUCCUGCUGCAUGGUGGGGGUUGGAAAGUUUCGGCGGUUGGGGAUGGACUCGCGGCUUAUCAGCUUGUUGGUGGGGUAGUGGCUUACCAAGGCUUUGACGGGUAGCCGGCCUGAGAGGGUGACCGGCCACAUUGGGACUGAGAUACGGCCCAGACUCCUACGGGAGGCAGCAGUGGGGAAUAUUGCACAAUGGGCGGAAGCCUGAUGCAGCAACGCCGCGUGCGGGAUGACGGCCUUCGGGUUGUAAACCGCUUUCGCCUGUGACGAAGCGUGAGUGACGGUAAUGGGUAAAGAAGCACCGGCUAACUACGUG
rnacentral:rRNA from 1 species